rnacentral:rRNA from 1 species
UACGUAGGGGGCUAGCGUUGUCCGGAUUUACUGGGCGUAAAGGGUGAGUAGGCGGUUGUAUAUGUCAGGUGUAAAAGGCACAGGCUUAACUUGUGUUAGCACUUGAAACUGUACAACUUGAGUGCAGGAGAGGUAAGCGGAAUUCCUAGUGUAGCGGUGAAAUGCGUAGAUAUUAGGAGGAACACCAGUGGCGAAGGCGGCUUACUGGACUGUAACUGACGCUGAGUCACGAAAGCGUGGGUAGCAAACAGGAUUAGAUACCC